rnacentral:snRNA from 2 species
AGCUUUGCGAAGUGACAUUACCGUAGCUGAUGAGGUCCAUCCGAGGCGCGGUUAUUGCUGAUUGAAAACUUUUCCCAAUACCCCGCGAGACGACUUGAAACAUAGUCGGCUUUGCAAUUUUUGUGGGCCCUGCUUAGGG